AUUGAACGCUGGCGGCAUGCCUUACACAUGCAAGUCGAACGGCAGCACGGGUGCUUGCACCUGGUGGCGAGUGGCGAACGGGUGAGUAAUACAUCGGAACAUGUCCUGUAGUGGGGGAUAGCCCGGCGAAAGCCGGAUUAAUACCGCAUACGAUCUACGGAUGAAAGCGGGGGACCUUCGGGCCUCGCGCUAUAGGGUUGGCCGAUGGCUGAUUAGCUAGUUGGUGGGGUAAAGGCCUACCAAGGCGACGAUCAGUAGCUGGUCUGAGAGGACGACCAGCCACACUGGGACUGAGACACGGCCCAGACUCCUACGGGAGGCAGCAGUGGGGAAUUUUGGACAAUGGGCGAAAGCCUGAUCCAGCAAUGCCGCGUGUGUGAAGAAGGCCUUCGGGUUGUAAAGCACUUUUGUCCGGAAAGAAAUCCUUGGCCCUAAUACGGUCGGGGGUUGACGGUACCGGAAGAAUAAGCACCGGCUAACUACGUG
rnacentral:rRNA from 1 species